rnacentral:tRNA from 1 species
GCCUGGGUGGCUCAGUCAGUUAAGCAUCCGACUUCGGCUCGGGUCAUGAUCUCACGGUUCGUGGGUUCGAGCCCCGCGUUGGGCU